GGAAGAAAAGUCGUAACAAGGUUUCCGUAGGUGAACCUGCGGAAGGAUCAUUAUUGUAUAACCGAGGUGCGAGGGCUGUCGCUGACCCGAAAGGUCGUGCACGCCCGAGUGCCCUCACACACAUCCAUCUCACCCCUAUGUGCACCACCGCGUGGGUCCCCCUUUGGCUUGUUCGGAGGGGGGCUUACGUUUUCACACAAACUUUGUAUGCAGUGUAGAAUGUAUUUUUUGUUUUUGCGAUCACGCAAUCAAUACAACUUUCAACAACGGAUCUCUUGGCUCUC
rnacentral:misc_RNA from 1 species